rnacentral:rRNA from 1 species
AACGAACGCUGGCGGCAUGCCUAACACAUGCAAGUCGAACGAGACCUCCCGGUCUAUUUGCGCAGGUGUGCGUAACGCGGGGUACCUGACCUUAGGUUCGGCAUCCCUCCCCUUAGGGGGUGCUAAUACAGGCUGAUGUCUUCGGCCCAUAGAUUGUUCGGCUUUGGAGUGGCGCGCGUUGGAUUAGCUGGUUGGUAGGGUGAAAGCCUACCAAGCCGCCGAUGCGUGGCUGGGCGGGGAGGCUGCCCCACAACACUGGGACUGAGACACGGCCCAGACGGGGAGGGAGGGGAGCAGAGGGGAAUAUUAGACGAUGGGCGAAGGCGUGAUCCAGCAACGCGGCGUGAGUGAUGAAGGCGGUAGGGUUGUAAAGCUCUUUUACCCGGGGCGAUAAUGACAGUACCGGGAGAAUAAGCACCGGCUAACUCCGUG